AGAACGAACGCUGGCGGCACGCCUAACACAUGCAAGUCGAGCGCCCAGCAAUGGGAGCGGCGGACGGGUGAGUAACACGUGGGAAUAUGCCUUUCGGUACGGAACAACUCAGGGAAACUUGAGCUAAUGCCGUAUACGCCCUUACGGGGAAAGAUUUAUCGCCGAAAGAUUAGCCCGCGUCUGAUUAGCUAGUUGGUGAGGUAAUGGCUCACCAAGGCUUCGAUCAGUAGCUGGUUUGAGAGAACGACCAGCCACACUGGGACUGAGACACGGCCCAGACUCCUACGGGAGGCAGCAGUGGGGAAUCUUGGACAAUGGGGGAAACCCUGAUCCAGCGAUGCCGCGUGAGUGAUGAAGGCCUUCGGGUUGUAAAACUCUUUCGACGGGGACGAGUAAUGACGGUACCCGUAGAAGAAGCUCCGGCUAACUUCGCGCCAGCAGCCGC
rnacentral:rRNA from 1 species